GAUAUCUUUCCUGCUAUGUAAAGUAUCUUCUGGUGUCCCACAAGGUUUUAUAAACAUGGCAACUUGAUUUAUUUUUGCAGAUUAUCGGUAUGAUUUGAGUCUAAGCAAUCUCCAAAUGUGGUAGGAUCCAAGGAAGCACAAAUACCCACUGUCUACAGCUUAGUUCUUGGCAUUGCUGGUGUUCUACAGUAUACCACAUGUACUGCAGUGGAGUCCUGGAAACAUGGGAAAUUCUGCAGUGUUUUAUCAUACUGUGCUUAAAUACACACUCUGCUACACACUCUGUCCCUUGGGCUUUCCUGGCCCUUCCUCCUGUCACAGCAAAGGCACUCAGAGCUGUGCCAUCAGCCUUGGCCCUCAGUGUAGCUUUCCUUUUCCCUGCAGCUCUCUUUCCAACUAGGAAGCGGGAAAGGCCAGGCUCACCUGCUUCAGCCAGCUCCCUUUGGUUUGGAUCACACUCCAACCUCAGGCUGGAGACUUGAGCAAAGAGGCACCCAACUGAUAGCAGUGCUUGUGCUCCACUGGGAGCUAUGAACCAAACUGGACAAUUUUCUGCAGUGAAUUAUUUGUUUUGGAACUGAUGGUGUUGUGCCUGGACAUGAUAAGUGCAUUGUGACUGUGCAAGUGACCAAGAGAAACCUGGGUAAUAGAACAGAGUCCUUCCCAAAGGGAAGUGAACCAUUUCUGCUGCUGAGCUCCUGCUGAUGCCAACAACCCCACCCAAAGCAGUUACAUUUCUUUCAUGAGCAUCUUGAGAAGUGAGAAGUUUGCAGUCUGAACCAUAAAGAUAAGUACUGCUUUGUACUGCAGGAAAAUGUAGAGUUCAAUGAGUGUGACUAAUUAAUAUGUUUUGAAGUAGGAUAUGUUUUCUCUGGUUUUUUUGCUUGAGUUUUAUGUUGGGUUUAAGUGAAAGAAUUUAGGCACACGAGCAUUCUACAUCUGUGUGUGUUCUACUUAGAGAAGGAAUGUUUGGUUGAAUUAGAUUAAUUUUUAGAACACAUGAAAUUCUGCAGAUUUACGCAAGGGAAAUUAUACCCUGUGCUGUCUUAUAGGCAUUUGCAUGUCACUUUGCAGGCAGGACAAGGACUUGAGGAAGUGAUGAAUUCCAAAGCACUGGUCAUCAGGCAGAUAUUGGAGAGGUUUGACUUCCGAGCUGCAGAGCUGCUCCAUGACACUGGCUCCACACACUGGCUGCCUGUGUGCCUCUGUUUCUGCAUUUGCCAUCUGCCUUCUCCAAAUACAACCUAACCUCCCUGGGGCAAAUACCAUUUUUUACUUUUGUUUGCAGUAUCUUGUGCAAUGAGUCCAUUCAUUCUUGGCUACAUUAAUAAUGCAAACAGUUUUUGAAAAGAGGCAUAAGUCUGAGUGACUGUCCAGAAUCAGAGAUUAGAGUGUUUUAUGCUUCACACUAUUUCUUGCCUUCAGGCUAGGGUGGUUCACAGACUCACUGUGAGUGGCAUACCCAGACUCUGUCACCUUUGG
rnacentral:lncRNA from 1 species